UCCCUGCAACCCCACCCUCUAGUGGGGUUGCAGCAUAACCUCCUAGCAUAGCCGAAGGUUAACAAGCCUUCCUGUGCUCUCCUCACAAAUGGGCUGGAGCAGUGUCAGCUCCCACCACAGGAAACAAGGCAGAGGAUGUGGCAUGCCAGUACGUGAGCCCUGAAGACAAGAUGGAGUGGUGGAGGAAUGAAGGAAGGAUGUGUAUGUGUUAUGACGUCACAGGGUGUGGUGGUCAUGUUCUCAUAGUAGCCAUGUGCUGAUGAUGAGAGAAUUGUUACAGUAGGGUGUGAGAAAGAGAAGAGGUUGUGACAUGAUGCCACAAUGUCAGGGACUAAUCUAAACAUUUACCUUGUUUGCUUUGACCUUUUUUGUACAACAUCUGACAGACAGGGGACUUUUCUAUCUCACGCUGGGUUACUGGGAUCAUUGCUGAUUCACUGUCUGUCCUUCCUUAGAUCACUGUUGGUAGGUACUAAACAGUGCAGACUGGGAACACCCAGCUAGACAUGCAGGCUGGGAGACACUGACCCAAUCGUCAGUCAUCACAGUUUGGCUCUUGUCAAAGUCACAAUUAUCCAUUUUUCCUGCUUCCUGUCCACCUGCUGCCUAAAAUACCCCACACAAUGACAGGUGCCACUGUAACAACAUAAUCAGUGUUAAUCACCUCACCAGUGGUCAUAAUGUAAUGGCCAAUUGGUGUAUAUUGUUAGUUCAUAUAUAAUAAUAAGGUUCAAAGUUAUCAGUAUGAAUGAUGACAAGUAAAACUUUAUAAAUUCUGUUGCAGCUUCAAAUCUGAAACAAAACACAUACAUUUUGGGACAACUAUAGGAUUAGGUGUUGUAAAAAAAACACAAAGCAUUUAUUGCAAUAAACCAUUUUUACCAUGUUUCUAUCAAGAUAAUUCUGUCGGAAUGCAUAUGGACAAAAGGUGUUUUGAUACAUUCACAAUAUUUAAACACACACACUUACCUUUAAAGGAACAGUUCAGACGUCAGAAAGGAAAACAUUUUUACUGCUGGCUUCUGAACUGUACCAUGUAUAACAUAAAACUUAUGAAAAGCAAUAUACACAUGUAUACAGUUACAAACAAAGACCUCUCCACAGAUCAAAAUAUUAUAUUCCUAUAUUUGUACCUGUAUGUGAACCCAUCUGUGACCUCUAAUUGCUCUCCCCAGGCCCCACAGCGCGCACUACAGACGUUGUACCAGCUGUUUCCCCUAAGGCUGCCAAGGCCUCAGACGAGAAAUCUAUACUUGCCAUCAGUCCUCCUGCAUCCAUCCCUGAUUCUACCACGGCCUUAGAAGUGAGCUCUACACUUAUCACCAGUCCUCCCGCAUCCCAACCAACCCCUGAAGAUGAAACAACAGAAGUGACUACUGUGGCAGCACCUUCUAUCAGCUCUGUUUUUUGGACUGAAGCCCCUGAUGCUACCACUAUAGCAUCAGAACCCCCUAGCACUGACCCUCCUGUUUGGGAGACUGCAGCCACCACUGACCUGAUACAGUCUUCAGUCCAAGACACAGUGAUGAAAACCCUCAAGGCGACUGAAGAGGUGGCUGUUGAAGAUGACACAGAGGGCCUGAGCUCUGGCCAGGUAGUCGGCAUCGUGAUUGGUGCUCUGUUGGCAUUGGUCAUCCUCAUUGCCGUGGUGAUUGCUGUGAUGAGAAGGAUGGGAAAAUACUCCCCUUGAGGAAAAAGCCAGACAAACAGCAGAAGUGCCCCAAGUUCUCGAAGUCCUGAACUACUGAGCUCUGACAUAAUUUCUGAUCAUUAAAAAAAGCACAAUACCAGAACUAAACCAAUUUAACCAGGACUGUUGCCAAAACACAAGGGGGAGGGAGGCUUACAGUAUGUGUGUUAAUGUAUGUACAGGAACAUGCAUACUCACUUCCACCGAUACCUCCUUGACCCCCUGAAGCUGUUGAUAGAAAAGGCUCUGUCUUCCCCCUACUCCCCCAGAGAGAACAAAACAAGGUGAUGGCACAGUGUCACAAAGAAUUUCAGGGUUUUUUCAAGUGGAUUUGGUUAAAUAAGAAGACAAAAAGGGGAGAGAAGCUGACAUUUAGGGAGACACUGAUAUGCAGUGAUAUGCUGUACUUAUAGCGAUUGACUUAGCUUUAUGCUGAAGUUGGUGAAAAGACAUUAACAUGUAAAAUACUUACAAAACAAAUGGAAAUUAAAUACUUCAAAAAAGUGGAAGGCGGGAGUAGGAAAAAGGAGAGAUUGUUACAAAUUCCACAGGAUGUAUAUACAUAGUAUAUGUUGCAGUUGCUUGUAGGCUAGCAUUUGAUAUUGUAGAACACACUAUGUACAGGCAUCCUUAGGCUAUUUGGUGUGACCUUUAAAACACCCGAGCACCAGUUAAAACACUUGCUAGUCAAAAUCCCUGAUAUGUUGGUCAACUGUAUGAAGCACCAUGUGCAGAAGUUCUUCUGACAUAGCAUCCAUGGGUUCUGAGGGUUAGCACAGGAAUAAUGGUAAAGAAAAGACACCCUCAUUUGCAAGAGUAACGUGACAUUCUUCCCACUUUAACACCAACAUAUAAAAACUUAAUACAUAUCUGUGAAAUUUAGCAAAGGGGUUUGUGCCACUGUCUCUGGUAUUCUCCAGGUAGUUAGAAGGAUUGUAACCUUUGAAGUGCAUUAUUAAUGUGAAUUUUCUGUACUUUGUAACUGCCACCCAUUCCAAAAAGAACAAUUUUAAUGGCUUCUGGUUCGGUCCUUAUUUGAAGGCUUACACAGAUAUUGUGAUAGUAUUGUCUUGACAAUGUAUUCAUAGUACUUUAAUAGGUAGAUUACCAGAACAGCUAGUUUCAACCGAGAUAGCCAAAGAUCACAUGCAUAGGAUGAUACAGUAUAGUUGCACUUAGCGGGCGUUCAGACUGAGUGCAGUAAACGCCACUCCCUGAUGUAUUUUUAUGUAGCAUGCUGCGCUGGUCGGGGGGUGAGAGAUUGCAGGGGAAGUGUUAUAGGCGUGUACAAUACCAUGUUGUGACGAGUGGUAUCAUUACUGUUUCUAGACCAUGAGUUUCCAUUGUGUUUUGGAUAGCUAUGCUGCUAAUGUAGCCUAUUCUAUGUUAGUGCCAAUUUCUACCACCAGUGUGUCAACACUGAUAGAUAAAACAAAAACACCUUAUAACAUCCAGUCCUAAUUAAUGAAACGCAUGGCGUGUUGUUAUGGUGGAUUUGUAACUGUGGUCCAAAUUAGAAAGUGAAUAGCAGUGAAUGCUCAUGCUAACACAGUAAAAAAUAAGUCUUCUUCCUGUGGGCAUCCAUGCUCUGAUCGUCUUCCAUACGUGAAUGGUUGAUGCAGCACUUUUACCCUUUGAUGUUCCUGUUCUGAGUGGCAAAAGUUGAACCAGAUCCAACUUUUUCGCUGCAUGGGGCCUUUGUGAUCUUGCCAGUGCCCCCUGCUGUGCUUUUGCUGGCUGCGGUGAAGGCAAUCCCCAUAGAAAUGAAUGGAGAGGGCUGCAAUUUUUCAUACCUUUGAAACUCAGUCUGAACGUGGCCUUAGUGUUAGUGCAGUGUUAAGCAGCAAUGCCCUUUAUUGUUAUUUUUGCAAUUGUAAGUGUGCUAAAUGGGUGUACAAAUAAUGAAAUCUCAGCUUAGCUCUGCUUGCUUUACAAGCUUCUUUAAUAUAUGCACUGAUUGAGAGAUGCAAUGUUUAAUGAAUAGGCUCUAGACACUGCAAACAUUUGCAAUGAUGUGCAUUCUCCCUUCUGCUUUACCAAAUAUAAGUCUUUAAUUUGUGCCAUCUGAUUUGUUUGAAUCUUUUAUUUAAUUGCAGUGUUUUUGUUUAUGCUGUUUCAAUAAAAAACUGAAAAUA